UGUCAAUGAUUAUUACUUACUUGAGUCAAGUUACGCUAAUUUUGCGAUUUGCUAAGAGCCAAUCAAUUUCAUCGCUAGUUAAGGAACUUGCCAGGUAUGUUACCAGGAGACACGCAAUAUCCUUAUUUGGCCAAUAUAGAAAGCGAAACGUGUCGUGACAUAUCCUAAGAGACAUCAAUCUUGAAAUGACGUCAUAAUAUCAACACGCCACCGUCUACAAUUUCUAACUUUCUGUUUCGGCAUAGUACUGUCUUUCGACGGGUUUUGACUUCAGUGACUACAGGUUCGUUUCUAAUUUCUACUUAAAAAGAGCUGGAUAUGAUAAUUUCGUUUAGUAAUUGUAUAGUUUUAAUCGAGACACUCGCUCAUAGAAUGUGUGGAUACCUCUUCAUGCAGAGCUCUUCUUAAGCUGAUAUUUCAACAACUGAGGUAGAAUCCGGCCCAAUAGCGGAGUUAAAUUCAUUUGCAUGAGCCUCAAUGUACGAGGCUUGUACUAGUCAGCAUCCUUGUGAUAUUAUCACGGUUGUGAAUGAAGCCAUUGUCAGCUCAGGAAGACGAUUCCGAUAUAGUCGUGAGUGUCAUGAGUGCCACCUGGUGCUGGAUUUGCUUGCUGUUUUUCCUGGCGCUUGAUGUUAACAUGCAAAUUAUAACCAUCAAGAAAGAGAAACGCCAAGC